ACUCCUACGGGAGGCAGCAGUGGGGAAUAUUGCACAAUGGGGGAAACCCUGAUGCAGCCAUGCCGCGUGUGUGAAGAAGGCCUUCGGGUUGUAAAGCACUUUCAGUAGGGAGGAAGGUAGUGUAGUUAACACCUGCACUAUUUGACGUUACCUACAGAAGAAGCACCGGCUAACUCCGUGCCAGCAGCCGCGGUAAUACGGAGGGUGCGAGCGUUAAUCGGAAUUACUGGGCGUAAAGCGCAUGCAGGCGGCCUGUUAAGUCAGAUGUGAAAGCCCGGGGCUUAACCUCGGAAUUGCAUUUGAAACUGGCAGGCUAGAGUCUUGUAGAGGGGGGUAGAAUUUCAGGUGUAGCGGUGAAAUGCGUAGAGAUCUGAAGGAUACCGGUGGCGAAGGCGGCCCCCUGGACAGAUACUGACACUCAGAUGCGAAAGCGUGGGGAGCAAACAGGAUUAGAUACCCUGGUAGGAUAGCG
rnacentral:rRNA from 1 species